UUAAAGAGAGCGCCGGAAAUACAUAAAUACGCUCUAAAAUCAGUUUUGCGACACGGCAAAUCGUUUUAAGACACAUUGCAUAGACCAAGAGAGUUCCUCUUCUUUAUUUACCAACUAAAAUACUGUGUGUGUGUGUGUGUGUGUGUGUGUGUGUGUGUGUGUGUGUGUGUGUGUGUCCUACUCCUACUCGUUCAAAAAAUAUGACCACGCGAUUCUAAUUGAGUGUAGUAAAGUUUGUUUUUACUUUUUUAUACCUGACAAAACAUCGACCUACCUAUGGUACUGCCUUGCUGCUUGAAGUGUAAUCCCAAAACGCAGUCAAUUUUUUGCAGCACAGGUCCGCCUAUGGCAUUCUGGAGCGUUCUAGGCUCACAGGUUUAACCGGAUCGGUGGCAUUCUCCACGGCAGGCCCAUACAUCCGUCUGUGUUACAAGUUUGGGUGUUCGAGUACAACAUGAAUCUAUCCGAAUUUCAGUCUACCUGAACUCUAAAAUCCGAGUAAAGACCUGUGUGAGUUAAACCAGCGGAAUCUAAGACCGAUUUCUCAACCCAUUCCGAUUCAUUCCGUGAACUGUUUCAGAUGUAAAGAUACUCAGGAUUAAUUUGGCUUCUUUCCACUGGAGGGAGGAUGUUCCCCCUAACCCCAUCCUUGUGGUUGCCCACGGCUACUGCGGCGUCACUGCUUAGCCUAUCACUAAUAGUGGUUAUGUGUGUGCUGAGGAAGAAACGGCGGCUGGAGGGAACAUACAGGCCAAGCGCCGAGGAGAGGAAGCAAGUCGGCGCACCAGGAUCAGAGAGGCCGGGCCUGCCCCUUCCUAUUCCCAAAGAAGAGCGCCUGAUAUGACUCUCGUUGGGACAAAUCCGGGGGGCUCCAUGUAGGGUGUUGCUGAAGCGUUUCACUUUCCGCUACAUUACUUUCUAAUGUUGCCUCCUUCCGCGCUUGUGUCCCGUCUCCAACUGUUGACUAAUAGAUCUAUGUUGCUCCGGGUUGAAGACACAAUAGGCCGAUCCAGAUACUCUGUUCCUCUGUGCAUUUUUCAAAAAGUCGCUUCAAAGUCAUUUAAAGACCUUUAAGUAUUUUCUUUUUUAUUUGUACAAUGGAAGUACCGUUAUUUAUGUAAAACAUGGUGUGAUCUUUAUAUUUAUAAAAACAUUUAUGAAGAGAGAUUCUAGAGAAAGAGGCACUGAAGUUUACCAUGAUGCACUUUGAUGUUGAGCUCAUAACAAUGAUUUAAUACAAAAUAAAUAUAAAUCUAUUUUG